rnacentral:rRNA from 1 species
CAAGCCCUGGAAACGGGGUCUAAUACCGGAUAUGACAUCCUCCCGCAUGGGAAGGGUGUGGAAAGCUCCGGCGGUGCAGGAUGAGCCCGCGGCCUAUCAGCUUGUUGGUGGGGUGAUGGCCUACCAAGGCGACGACGGGUAGCCGGCCUGAGAGGGCGACCGGCCACACUGGGACUGAGACACGGCCCAGACUCCUACGGGAGGCAGCAGUGGGGAAUAUUGCACAAUGGGCGAAAGCCUGAUGCAGCGACGCCGCGUGAGGGAUGACGGCCUUCGGGUUGUAAACCUCUUUCAGCAGGGAAGAAGCGAAAGUGACGGUACCUGCAGAAGAAGCACCGGCUAACUACGUGCCAGCAGCCGCGGUAAUACGUAGGGUGCGAGCGUUGUCCGGAAUUAUUGGGCGUAAAGAGCUCGUAGGCGGCCUGUCACGUCGGAUGUGAAAGCCCGGGGCUUGACCCCGGGUCUGCAUUCGAUACGGGCAGGCUAGAGUUCGGUAGGGGAGAUCGGAAUUCCUGGUG